CUGCGUCCUCAGCCAUGAGGGGGCGCGGCGCACGGCUCAGUAACAUGUGGUUAACCUACCCUCAGGACGGGGAUACCCUCGGGAAACUGAGGCUAAUCCCCGAUAGAUGAGGGAUCCUGGAAUGGUUCCUCAUCCAAAAGGCACGCAUAUCAUGCUAUGCGUGUCGCCUGAGGAUGGGACCGCAUCCUAUCAGGUAGUUGGUGGGGUAACGGCCCACCAAGCCUAUAACGGGUACGGGCCCUGAGAGGGGGAGCCCGGAGAUGGGCACUGAGACAAGGGCCCAGGCCCUACGGGGCGCAGCAGGCGCGAAACCUCUGCAAUGCGCGAAAGCGCGACAGGGCCACCCCGAGUGCUAGCCGCUGAGGUUAGCUUUUCCUUAGUGUAGUAAGCUAAGGGAAUAAGCGGGGGGCAAGCCUGGUGUCAGCCGCCGCGGUAAUACCAGCUCCGCGAGUGGUCGGGACGAUUAUUGGGCCUAAAGCGUCCGUAGCCGGCCUAACAAGUCUCUGGUUAAAUCUCAAGGCUUAACCUUGGGAUCGCUGGAGAUACUGUUAGGCUAGGGGGCGGGAGAGGUUGAGGGUACUUCGCGGGUAGGGGCGAAAUCCUAUAAUCCGCGAAGGACCACCAGUGGCGAAGGCGC
rnacentral:rRNA from 1 species